ACGGGGCGAGCAGGCGCGAAAACUUUGCAAUGUGCGAAAGCACGACAAGGUUAAUCCGAGUGGUUUCUGCUAAAGGAACCUUUUGUUAGUCCUAGAAACACUAACGAAUAAGGGGUGGGCAAGUUCUGGUGUCAGCCGCCGCGGUAAAACCAGCACCUCAAGUGGUCAGGAUGAUUAUUGGGCCUAAAGCAUCCGUAGCCUGAUCUGUAAGUUUUCGGUUAAAUCUGUACGCUCAACGUACAGGCUGCCGGGAAUACUGCAAAUCUAGGGAGUGGGAGAGGUAGAUGGUACUCGGGAGGAAGUGGUAAAAUGCUUUGAUCUCUCGAUGACCACCUGUGGCGAAGGCGGUCUACCAGAACACGUCCGACGGUGAGGGAUGAAAGCUGGGGGAGCAAACCGGAUUAGAUACCCGGGUAGUCCCAGCUGUAAACUAUGUAAACUCAGUGAUGCAUUGGCUUGUGGCCAAUGCAGUGUUGCAGGGAAGCCGUUAAGUUUACCGCCUGGAAGUACGUACGCAA
rnacentral:rRNA from 1 species